CUGGGCCGACCAAUCAGCGAGGAGCGCGGGCAGCCGGGGCGGCUGCUGCUCUCGUGAGAACAGAGGACCCAGGCCCUCGGAGGAGCUUCGCGGUGCCAGCCUCUGCAGGUCCUCUGAGGGAGCAACAUCAGGGCUCCCUCAGGUUCAGAGGUCGCCUCUAGCUUCCCAGGCCAGUCAGCCACGGAGCCCGUGGGCAGGAAGGGCAGCAGGAUGGCUGCCAAGGACCAGUUGGAGGUUCAAGUUAUGGCCGCCCAGGAAAUGGAGCUUGCAGGAAAGGAUCCAGUAAGUCAUGAGCAUGAGGAAAGAAAACCUGUUACAGAGACAAAGGAGGGAGAUGUAACUGAUGAGCAUGGGGAAAGAGGAUCUUUUGCUGAAACAGAUGAACACACGGGGGUUGAUACCAAGGAGCUAGAAGAUAUUGCAGGUAUGUUUUACGAGCUAUUUGUGGUUUAUGAAAAUUGUUUUCAACCAUACAACCCUUACAGUAGGUUAUAUGAAUUAGUGGAUGACAAGACUGUCUUAAAUGCCUUCUUCUCAUAUAUAGCAUUUAAUGUAAUCUGUUUAAUAAUUUUUCUUACUUACUUUUUUAAUUGUUGAUGUGGAAUGUGAGAAUGCUUCUAAUAAUGGUGAAGCAAGAGGGGUGGCUUUUCUUUCAUACACGUGGAAAUUUAAUUGUUUGGGGGAUAUUAGAGGACAUUGGAGGAGAAACAGCUCUAUUCGUUCCUUUCAGUGUACACACAUUAAGUCAUAUAUCAGGUUUUUUUUUAGCUUUUACUUUAUGUUUGGGGGUACAUGUGCAGGUUCGUUAUAUAGAUAAAUUGCGUGUCACAGGGGUUUGGUAUACAGAUUAUUUUGUCACCCAGAUUAUAAGCAUCGUACCUGAUGGGUGGUUUUCCAUCCUCACCUUCCUCCUACCCUCCAACCUCAAGUAGGCCCAGGUGUGUGUUGUUCACCUCUUCCUGUCCGUAUGUACUCAGUUUUUAAUAUGAGUUUUUCAUCUUCCUAAUUUAGCUAUUGUCACAACUUUCUAAUUUUGUUUUCUUUAAAGUACCAGAGAAAAUUGAAUUCUCUAAAAUGAUGAUUUUCUAUUAUUAUUCCAGUAACAAGCUGUGUAGUAGAAAAGGAAAGACAACUUUUCUACCCAGUGAGAAGCAUACAAUUGGAUCCAAAAACUCAUAAACUUUAUAUUGCCAUGUGAAAUAUUAGUUGCACUGUUAUGGGACCAUAUUUUCAAAAAAGUUUGAGAAAAUUUCUGUAGAGAUUAUGAAGACAAUACUCUUAUUUUUAAAAAGCUUACUUUAGUUUUCAGCUCUUCUAUAGCGAUAAUUCAUAUAAGCAGUAUAUUUGGAAAGCUUUGCUCUGCUUGGUGGUGACAAAGUGCCGGUUUUGUCUAAUACAAUGAGCAUUAUAGAUGGAUACUGUAUGUAAAAAAAUUUGUAUUAUGGUGCAGCUCUUUUAUGAUUGCUCAAAACUAUUCUCAGCAAUUGAUGGUAGAUCUCUCAUGUGAAACCAUGUUUAGGAAAGCAUUCCUUGCAGUAUUACAGUUUUCUGAAACACUGCACUGUGGAUAAAAAUGUCAUAUAAAAAGCUCUCAGAAAAUAUUUCAAAUGUGUUUUGAAUGUAUUUAUCUAUUUAAACCUAAAUGUUUACACCCAUGGACAUUGCUUCUUUUAUUAAAAUAUAGUUAAUAGCAUCAACUAUUGAUUAAAAAUACUUUCUUUAUUGUGUAUUAAGUUAUUUCUACCCUUUUGAUGGUCUUAUUAAAUCAGAUACUUUUUUGUGCUUUACAUAAUGAGUUGUGACAGUAUUUCACGGAAACAUGUCCUUUGAAUUGUAGGACAUUUUAUAAAUGUAGAAAUUAAAGUCUGUGGCUGGGCACGGUUGCUCACACCUGUAAUCCCAGCACUUUGGGAGGCCGAGGUGGGUGGAUCACGAGGUCAGGAGAUCAAGACCAUCCUGGCUAACACGGUGAAACCCCGUCUCCACUAAAAAUAUAAAAAUUAGCCGGGCGUGGUGGCGGGCGCCUGUAGUCCCAGCUACUCGGGAGGCUAAGGCAGGAGAAUGGCGUGAACCCGGGAGGCGGAGGCUGCAGUGAGCCAAGAUCGUGCCACAGCACUCCAGCCUGGGUGACAGAGCGAGACUCUGUCUCAAAAAAAAAAAAAAAGAAAUUAAAGUCUGUGUUUGUAACCCUUUCUGCACACUUAAAAAAUAGAAACUUUUAAUUAUUUGCUUUUUUUCAUUAUCUGUCAAUUAAGUGAUUUGCUGUUAUACCAACUGAAAUUGGAAUACUAAUACCUGAAAGGUUUUACAUAAAGUAAGUAAAUCUUGCUUUUUGAAAUGAUCUUUGCAUUUUACAUUUUAAAUGUCCUUCUGAUAUUGCUGAACCAUCAAGUCCCAUAUUGAUUUUAAUAUAUGCAAAGAAACUACUUUUCAACAUGAACAUUUAAUGCAUAUUCAUUUACUAUCUAGCUGACAUUAAAGAGCAUCUUGCUGCAAAGAGAAAAAGGAUUGAAAAGAUUGCAAAAGCUUGCAGCGAAAUAAAGAACAGAAUUAAAAAUGUUUUGAGAACAACACAACUAAAAAGGUAUGAUUGUUGGCUUUUUUGAAUAAUGAUAUUUAUAUCAUUUCUUUGUAUUCAUUGGUGCAAAUAAUUUCCAGAACUAUCCUGUACAUAUUGGUGUCUCUAGGGAACAACAUAUUUUACUUGAUUGUUCCCUAAACAGGUAAGUUUCUUUAGUUUUAUAACCUCAAUUUAACAGAAUUGAGAGAUAUUACCUAGAAGCCAAUGAAGAUGACCUCUUUUUGCCUUCCAGAUAAAAAGUCUUCCUGUAAAAUUAAUGUUUAUCCAUUUCUAGAAAUACGGCAGAAACGUGAUUAUAGAAUUUCUCUGAAGUUGCCGAAUGUCCUUGAAGAGUUCAUCACAGAUGAGCAGAAAGAUGAGGAAGGAGAUGGAGAAAAGGAAGAACAAAUUAAAAUAUUUCAAGAGCAACAAAAGAGGUGGCAACAAGAUGGGAAAGGAACUGAAAGAGAUUGAGCCACCACACGAGCAAUUCACAAAGCUGCAGCAAGAGUUGGCACUUAUUCAGAUGUAUCUUCAACCUCUGUUAUUCUGGUGACUGACAAAAGAACUUGAACCUAUGUUAUAUGAUACAUGCAUAACUUGAGCUACACUAAACCACAUGACAGUGUUUAGUUAAUUCUUGUAUAAAUUAGUAUAUCUCUUCUAUUAUUAGUCUGUUUGUUAAAUGCCAGACCACGUUUCUAUGAUCUGUUGAAUGAACCCUAGACAGUUCUGUGAGAAAGCAGCAAUUGCACAGUUACAUACACAGUCAAUUAAAUUUUAACAUUAAAGAUAAUUUAGUUUUAGGUUUGGCCUCUGUGGAUCUGUAUCAGUUCCAAAAUGUGGAAAGCACGGGCAUGGAAAAGUACAUUUUUCUCUAAUAAA
rnacentral:lncRNA from 1 species